UUCGCUCGAGCCUCACGACGCCCGCGACUGGGGACUCGGAACCUGGGCCAGGCUGGGACGAGGCCGCGCGGGAGGGCGCGCUGGGCGGACGCUGGGGCCGCGGAGCCCAACCGCCCUUGUCCUGGACGCCCCUUCGCGGUCCGCACUGGCGGGUGCCCUCUCCUGAGGGGAACUGAGGCGGGGCGCCUGCCACCAUUCGUGAUUUUCCGUGACUCACCCUCUCAACAGUGUGUCCCGUCAGCCCCCGCUUUCUGGAAUUAAGAUGAUUUUCCAUGGGCAUUAUAGUCAGAGGAGGUUUUCUGUGAGACAUCUGGAAAAGGAUGUGAGAGCCGAGCGCGUGUCCGCGGAGUGCUUGAGCAACGCAGAAUGGCUUCGGUGCUGCGUUCCUUAGACCCCGUGCAGACCCUGCUGAGCCCUCAGCAUCUUUAUCUGGAUUAGAGAUCUGAUUUCCAAAAGUUGUCAUGUUUUUGUAAACCUUCAACCAAAAGGCUUAAAAGGAGAAGGUAUGAUUUUAACUUUACCAGGAGUAUAUGCUGUAUUUACUUGCAUAAAGACAGAAAACAGCCCUCGUU